rnacentral:tRNA from 1 species
GGGCCUGUAGGAUAGGGGUUAUUCCGCCUCAUUUGCAUUGAGGAGGUCCUGGGUUCAAAUCCCAGCCGGUCCA